rnacentral:rRNA from 1 species
UACGUAGGGGGCAAGCGUUGUCCGGAAUCACUGGGCGUAAAGGGCGCGUAGGCGGCCAUUCAAGUCGGGGGUGAAAGCCUGUGGCUCAACCGACAGAAUUGCCUUCGAUACUGUUUGGCGUUGAGUUUGGUAGAGGGUUGGUGGAACUGCGAGUGUAGAGGUGAAAUUCGUAGAUAUUCGCAAGAACACCAGUGGCGAAGGCGGACCAACGUGGGCCACUACGUGAACGCUGAGA